rnacentral:tmRNA from 1 species
GGGGGUGUACUGGUUUCGACGGGGGUAUCGAAGCAGCGCGGGGCAUGCCGAGGCGCUUGUCCUCGUUAAACCCGAGCAAUCGCAAACUUAACUGCGAACGACGAAACGUACGCUCUGGCGGCUUAAUCCCGCCGGACCUCGCACCGGGCGGCGCUCCGCCCGGGCGGCAGCCGAGUAACACCGGAAGUCGCAGCGGGGACAUUUAGAGCGAUCGCGCCCAUCCGGGUCACUUGGGUGAAGCGCUAAAGCAAGGUGACUGGCGUUCCUGCAGCUUGUCCGCCGGCGGCAGGGGUGCGAGAUCCAAACGACGAGACUAAGCAUGUAGUCCCGACUGCAGAGGGCUUCCGGACGCGAGUUCGAUUCUCGCCACCUCCACCA